AUAUGAGAACAGUGAGCUCCAAGGAGCGGCCUGCCCUUGGCUUCUGUUCCCAGGGCGAGUGUGAAGGCUGAGCUUUUCCGUUCCCUCUUCCAUGGAGCUUGGCUGGUUCCUAUGAACUGCAAGUUAAGGCAACACUGAUUUGCAACUUCACUAGAUAGGAUGGAGGAGGGGGGCUUACAGCCUCAAAACAACCCUGCUUUCCCUAUCACAGGGCCAGAGGGAGUGGAGCUGCUUCUGAAUGCUUGCUCUGAAUUCAGCCUUGCUGAGUGCUACUCAAGGUAGUUGCAGUCUGGCAUCACAUGGCACAUCAUCACUGUCUCUUCUGCAAAUUUCUGAGAAUAAGAAGAAUUGGUUGAAAAAACUUCUAACAUCUCCAUCGGUUUGUAAUCAGUGAAUACAAUUAUGAAGCAAUUUCCUACCUGUUUUUUUAUUUGAUCCAUGAACUUUUCAAGAGAUGUGUGCUAUUGCUGUUGUGGUGACCAUUAGCUCCCAUUUCUCAGAUGAGAAAACUGAGGCUCAGUGAGCCUUAAAUGACUUGCCCAAAACUAUAAGAUGGAAAUCUCUGCCCAU
rnacentral:lncRNA from 1 species